GAUGAACGCUGGCGGCGUGCUUAACACAUGCAAGUCGAACGGAAAGGCCCAAGCUUGCUUGGGUACUCGAGUGGCGAACGGGUGAGUAACACGUGGGUGAUCUGCCCUGCACUUCGGGAUAAGCCUGGGAAACUGGGUCUAAUACUGGAUAGGACCACUUCUUGGAUGUUGUGGUGGAAAGUUUUUUCGGUGUGGGAUGAGCUCGCGGCCUAUCAGCUUGUUGGUGGGGUAAUGGCCUACCAAGGCGUCGACGGGUAGCCGGCCUGAGAGGGUGUACGGCCACAUUGGGACUGAGAGACGGCCCAGACUCCUACGGGAGGCAGCAGUGGGGAAUAUUGCACAAUGGGCGCAAGCCUGAUGCAGCGACGCCGCGUGGGGGAUGACGGCCUUCGGGUUGUAAACUCCUUUCGCUAGGGACGAAGCGUUUUGUGACGGUACCUGGAGAAGAAGCACCGGCUAACUACGUG
rnacentral:rRNA from 1 species